rnacentral:rRNA from 1 species
UACAGAGGUCUCAAGCGUUGUUCGGAUUCAUUGGGCGUAAAGGGUGCGUAGGUGGCGCGGUAAGUCGGGUGUGAAAUUUCGGAGCUUAACUCCGAAACUGCAUUCGAUACUGCCGUGCUUGAGGACUGGAGAGGAGACUGGAAUUUACGGUGUAGCAGUGAAAUGCGUAGAGAUCGUAAGGAAGACCAGUGGCGAAGGCGGGUCUCUGGACAGUUCCUGACACUGAGGCACGAAAGCUGGGGGAGCAAACAGG